rnacentral:rRNA from 1 species
AACGAACGCUGGCGGCAUGCCUAACACAUGCAAGUCGAACGAGACCUUCGGGUCUAGUGGCGCACGGGUGCGUAACGCGUGGGAACCUGCCCUUAGGUUCGGAAUAACUCCCCGAAAGGGGUGCUAAUACCGGAUAAUGUCUUCGGACCAAAGAUUUAUCGCCUUUGGAUGGGCCCGCGUUGGAUUAGCUAGUUGGUAGGGUAAAAGCCUACCAAGGCGACGAUCCAUAGCUGGUCUGAGAGGAUGAUCAGCCACACUGGGACUGAGACACGGCCCAGACUCCUACGGGAGGCAGCAGUGGGGAAUAUUGGACAAUGGGCGAAAGCCUGAUCCAGCAAUGCCGCGUGAAUGAUGAAGGCCUUAGGGUUGUAAAGCUCUUUUACCCGGGAUGAUAAUGACAGUACCGGGAGAAUAAGCUCCGGCUAACUCCGUG